UUCAGAACAUUCAUCACAGUCUGAAGCUAUUAGUUCAGAACAUUCAUCACAGUCUGAAGGUAUUAGGUCAGAACAUUCAUCACAGUUCAGAGCAUUCAUCACAGUCUGAAGGUUUUAGUUCAGAACAUUCAUCACAGUCUGAAGCUAUUAGUUCAGAACAUUCAUCACAGUUCAGAACAUUCAUCACAGUUCAGAACAUUCAUCACAGUCUGAAGGUUUUAGUUCAGAACAUUCAUCACAGUCUGAAGCUAUUAGUUCAGAACAUUCAUCACAGUCUGAAGGUUUUAGUUCAGAACAUUCAUCACAGUCUGAAGCUAUUAGUUCAGAACAUUCAUCGCAGUCUGAAGGUAUUAGGUCAGAACAUUCAUCACAGUUCAGAACAUUCAUCACAGUUCAGAACAUUCAUCACAGUCUGAAGCUAUUAGUUCAGAACAUUCAUCACAGUCUGAAGGUAUUAUUUCAGAACAUCCAUCACAGUCUGAAGGUAUUAUUUCAGAACAUUCAUCACAGUCUGAAGCUAUUAGUUCAGAACAUUCAUCACAGUCUGAAGGUAUUAUUUCAGAACAUCCAUCACAGUCUGAAGGUAUUAUUUCAGAACAUUCAUCACAGUCUGAAGCUAUUAGUUCAGAACAUUCAUCACAGUCUGAAGGUAUUAGGUCAGAACAUUCAUCACAGUUCAGAGCAUUCAUCACAGUCUGAAGGUUUUAGUUCAGAACAUUCAUCACAGUCUGAAGCUAUUAGUUCAGAACAUUCAUCACAGUUCAGAACAUUCAUCACAGUUCAGAACAUUCAUCACAGUCUGAAGGUUUUAGUUCAGAACAUUCAUCACAGUCUGAAGCUAUUAGUUCAGAACAUUCAUCACAGUCUGAAGGUUUUAGUUCAGAACAUUCAUCACAGUCUGAAGCUAUUAGUUCAGAACAUUCAUCGCAGUCUGAAGGUAUUAGGUCAGAACAUUCAUCACAGUUCAGAACAUUCAUCACAGUUCAGAACAUUCAUCACAGUCUGAAG
rnacentral:lncRNA from 13 species